GACGAACGCUGGCGGCGUGCUUAACACAUGCAAGUCGAACGGAAAGGCCCUGCUGUUGUGGGGUGCUCGAGUGGCGAACGGGUGAGUAACACGUGAGUAACCUGCCCUUGACUUUGGGAUAACUUCAGGAAACUGGGGCUAAUACCGGAUAGGAGCUCCUGCUGCAUGGUGGGGGGUGGAAAGUUUCGGCGGUUGGGGAUGGACUCGCGGCUUAUCAGCUUGUUGGUGGGGUAGUGGCUUACCAAGGCUUUGACGGGUAGCCGGCCUGAGAGGGUGACCGGCCACAUUGGGACUGAGAUACGGCCCAGACUCCUACGGGAGGCAGCAGUGGGGAAUAUUGCACAGUGGGCGGAAGCCUGAUGCAGCAACGCCGCGUGCGGGAUGACGGCCUUCGGGUUGUAAACCGCUUUCGCCUGUGACGAAGCGUGAGUGACGGUAAUGGGUAAAGAAGCACCGGCUAACUACGUG
rnacentral:rRNA from 1 species